GACAGAGGGUGCAAACGUUGUUCGGAAUUACUGGGCGUAAAGCGAGUGUAGGCGGUCCUCUAAGUCGGGUGUGAAAGCCCCGGGCUCAACCCGGGAAGUGCACUCGAAACUGGAGGGCUAGAGUAUCGGAGAGGUUGGUGGAAUUCUCGGUGUAGAGGUGAAAUUCGUAGAUAUCGAGAGGAACACCGGUGGCGAAGGCGGCCAACUGGACGAAUACUGACGCUGAGACUCGAAAGCGUGGGGAGCAAACGGG
rnacentral:misc_RNA from 1 species